rnacentral:rRNA from 1 species
GACGAACGCUGGCGGCGUGCUUAACACAUGCAAGUCGAACGGAAAGGCCCUGCUUGCAGGGUACUCGAGUGGCGAACGGGUGAGUAACACGUGGGUGAUCUGCCCUGCACUUCGGGAUAAGCUGGGGAAACUGGGUCUAAUACCGGAUAGGAGCCAUCUUUAGUGUGGUGGUUGGAAAGUUUUUUCGGUGUAGGAUGAGCUCGCGGCCUAUCAGCUUGUUGGUGGGGUAAUGGCCUACCAAGGCGGCGACGGGUAGCCGGCCUGAGAGGGUGUACGGCCACAUUGGGACUGAGAUACGGCCCAGACUCCUACGGGAGGCAGCAGUGGGGAAUAUUGCACAAUGGGCGCAAGCCUGAUGCAGCGACGCCGCGUGGGGGAUGAAGGCCUUCGGGUUGUAAACUCCUUUCGCUAGGGACGAAGCUUUUUUGUGACGGUACCUAGAUAAGAAGCACCGGCUAACUACGUG